GACGAACGCUGGCGGCGUGCUUAACACAUGCAAGUCGAGCGGAAAGACGCUGCUUUUGUGGGUUUCUCGAUUGGCGAACGGGGGAGUAAAACAUGAGUAACCUGCCCUUGACUUUGGGAUAACUUCAGGAAACUGGGGCUCAUACCGCAUAGGAGCUCCUGCUGCAUGGUGGGGAUUGGUAAAAUCCGGCGGUUGUGGCUGGACUCGCGGCUUAUGAGCUUGUUGGGGGGGUAGUUGCUUACCAAGGGUGUGACGGGUAGGCUGCCUGAGAGGUUGAACGGCCACAUGGGGCCUGCGAUAGGCCGCAGUAUGCUACGGGCGGCAGUAGGCGAGAGCCUGACAGAGCGGGGCGAAGUGUGAUGCAGAAGUCUUGCGUGCGGGAUGCUCGGCUUUUGGGGGUAAACCGCUUUCGCAGUUGACGAGGCGGGAGUGACGGUACCUGGUAAAGAAGCAACGGCUAACUACGUG
rnacentral:rRNA from 1 species